AGGAAAUGUCCUGAAUUUGACAUAGUUUUAAAAGACGCGAAAUUCCAGUUUAAGGCUAAAAAAAGCAUGUCCUUCACUUUUAUGAAAAUUUAAAUAUAAUGCUAACCUAUUAUUAUUUGUAUUACACUAAUCUCUAGAAGCCCCGACAGAUCAGGGCCACAUUGUGCUAGCUGCUGUACAAAUAUAUAGUGAAAUGAGCAAGACAAGAAAAGAGUGGGAGAAAGAAGAGUUUGAACCUCAUUGUGGAGGAACUGAGGCACAGAGAUUAAGACACUUACCCAAGAUAACACAGAAGUGACAACCUGUGCAUGAAUUCAUCCCAUCAGCUUGGGCUCCGGGGAGAAAAGGAUAAAAAUCCUUGACAAGGAGAUGCUAGGGUUCUUUUUUACUGCUUGGACUCUAAAGGUGAUUAAGAGAGCAGAAUUCUCCAGUCAUGAACUUUCAAGAGAAUCUAUUCUGCUUCGUUAUUUCAGGUUAACAGGGAAACCAUUUGGAAUUACUAAUAUAUAUAUUUUAGAUCUACAGAACUUGCACAUUUGGAUGAGAGGGUGUUCCCUCCCACCUAUUGCCACACCUUAAUAAAAAAGAGGAUCCUGACUCUCCUUUCAUAUACACUCCCAAACUUACAAUAAUAUGUACAAAAAUGUUUUAAAUGAUAUGGAUUUUGUCCCAAGUACUUAUCAGCAUGGGCC